AUUGAACGCUGGCGGCAGGCCUAACACAUGCAAGUCGAGCGGAUGAAGGGAGCUUGCUCCUGGAUCCAGCGGCGGACGGGUGUGAAUUGCCCGGGAAUCACCUGGGUAGUGGGGGAUAAUGUCUGCAAACGGCUGCUAAUACUGCCUGCGUCCUGCGGGUGCAAGUGGGGGGUGUUUGGACCUUAUGGUAUGAGGUGGGCGUAGGCGGGAGUUGCUAGCUGGUGGGGUAAAGGGCUACCAAGCCGACGAUUCGUAACUGGUCUGAGAGGAUGAUUAGUCACACUAGAACUGGGACACGGUCCUGACGACUACGGGAGGCAGCAGUGGGGUAUAGUGGGCAAAGGGCGAAAGCCUGAUCCAGCCAUGCCGCGUGUGUGGAGGAAGUCUUCGGAUUGUGAAGCACUUUAAGUUGGGAGGAAGGGCAGUAAGUUAAUACCUUGCUGUUUUGACGUUACCAGCAGAAUAAGCACCGGCUAACUUCGUG
rnacentral:rRNA from 1 species